rnacentral:rRNA from 1 species
CCCUACGGGGGGCAGCAGUAGGGAAUAUUGCUCAAUGGGGGAAACCCUGAAGCAGCAACGCCGCGUGUAGGAAGACGGUCCUCUGGAUUGUAAACUACUGUCCCCAGGGACGAAGAUGACGGUACCUGGGGAGGAAGCUCCGGCUAACUACGUGCCAGCAGCCGCGGUAAUACGUAGGGAGCGAGCGUUGUCCGGAAUUACUGGGUGUAAAGGGAGCGUAGGCGGGGAUGCAAGUUGGGUGUUAAAUCUACCGGCUCAACUGGUAGUCGCACUCAAAACUGCAGCUCUUGAGUGAAGUAGAGGCG